rnacentral:rRNA from 1 species
CAGCAGCCGCGGUAAUACGUAGGGUGCGAGCGCUAAUCGGAAUUACUGGGCGUAAAGCGUGCGCAGGCGGUUGUGUAAGACAGGUGUGAAAUCCCCGGGCUUAACCUGGGAACUGCGCUUGUGACUGCACAGCUAGAGUAUGGCAGAGGGGGGUGGAAUUCCACGUGUAGCAGUGAAAUGCGUAGAGAUGUGGAGGAACACCGAUGGCGAAGGCAGCCCCCUGGGCCAAUACUGACGCUCAUGCACGAAAGCGUGGGGAGCAAACAGGAUUAGAUACCCGAGUAGUCCCUGUCUCUUAUAC